rnacentral:lncRNA from 1 species
UGGAGUUCUUUCGCAGCUCCUUUUUCCUUCCCAAAUGAACUAACUUUGGUUACCUUUAGUGGCUGUUAGCAUUAUCAUCAUCACACAUUUUCUUGGGAGGGUGAGAAUAGUGCAACCAUAUUUUCAGUAGGAUUCAGCAAAAGCCAAAUUCUACCACUUAUGGGGACUACAGCCUGAGUGCUGCAACUUUCCCCAGACACUCAGCAGUCACCUGCUCUGCCAGGCCCUUUACGAACACAAUUUCAUUGGGUUGUCCCAGCUUCCCUGAGAGGUCUGUAUAUCACCACCAGUAUACACGGGGACACUCAGAGGGGUUAAGUAACUGGUUCAAAUCUCACAGUUGGUGUCCUUGGCUCCAAAACCUUGUAAUGUCUUUCUUUCUAUACUACCCUGUCUCCACUCAGUCUUUUCCUUCUACUCCAAGGCAUUAGGACACCUCCAUUCCUGACCUCCUGGAGCACUGACUGCCUUUUGUGGGGGAUUGAAAAAGACUUCUGGGAAGAGCUGGUGCUGAGUCCUCUGUGUGAAGAGGAGGAAAAGAGUUGAUGAGUAUGAAUUGGAGGACCCAUCCAGAAAUAAAGGAUCUGCAAACAAUCAAACUAAUAAAAAAUCAAACACAAAACAGAGGAACAGAGCAGAUCCCUGGAGAGAUGCCCUUUCAACCCUCCAUCUCUGCUAAAUGCCUUUUGGAUCUCAGCAGUGGAGCCCAUUGGUUGGUUGGAUAGUCAGAGCAGACUAUUACUGACGCCUAUUAAGGCUGACUGAAAGAAUUCUAGCCAAAUCUUCCAGGUUAGAAGAGAAAUGACAGCUCCUCCCAAAGAGAGAUGGUGCCUGGAGCAUACACACAGAGAGACACUGGGAAAAUACCCUUGUGCUGGAGCGACAGGGUGAAAACAUCUGUGUUCCUGAGCUGCUUAAGAAGAUGAAGUUAACA